AGGUUAAGUUAGGAAGGGCGCAUGGUGGAUGCCUUGGUACUAGGAGCCGAUGAAGGACGGGACUAACACCGAUAUGCCUCGGGGAGCUGUAAGUAAGCUUUGAUCCGGGGAUUUCCGAAUGGGGCAACCCAAUAGUUUUAAUCGACUAUUAUCCGCAUCUGAAUUCAUAGGAUGUGUGAAGGUAAACGUGGGGAACUGAAACAUCUCAGUACCCACAGGAACAGAAAGAAAAUUCGAUUCCCUGAGUAGCGGCGAGCGAAACGGGAACAGCCCAAACCAAGAAGCUUGCUUCUUGGGGUUGUAGGACUGAACAUUUGAGUUACCAAAGAGCUUGAUAGCUGAAGGGCCUGGGAAGGCCAGCCAGAGAGGGUGACAGCCCCGUAAGUUAAAUCAAACUCCCUCAGUUCAGGAUCCUGAGUACGGCGGAGCACGUGAAAUUCCGUCGGAAUCCGGGAGGACCAUCUCCCAAGGCUAAAUACUACCUAGUGACCGAUAGUGAACCAGUACCGUGAGG
rnacentral:rRNA from 1 species